GCCUUAGAAGUAUAGGUUGUACAUCUAAUUUCCAGUUAGAUAGCCCUUUGUUGGUUAAGGCA
rnacentral:tRNA from 1 species